UAGCUGUAACUCUGAGCACCUGCUACUUGCUGUCAUGUCUUAUUGGCCAAUUGCGUCCCAUGUUGAACACCACCCGGUUGGGGUCAUACUAAAACUGUAGAGAGCAGACUCCUCAGAGUUAAUGUUGAAAUGAAAGAUUGAACUAGAGCUCUUUUGCCCUGCUGGGAAGGCUCCUCAGCAGAGUGAAUCACUUGUGCAAUAACACAAAGGCUGACAGAAACAAG
rnacentral:lncRNA from 1 species